AGCUAACUUUUAUUACAAACUAUUCUUAACUAUUUUUUAAAGAUAUCUUCAUUAUUAAUUUUUUUAAUCUAUUUUUUCUCUUAUUUAUAAUAAUACAAUGUAAGUAGAUUUUUUUCUAUUUUUACAAUAGAUAAUAUUAAUAUUAAAUAUUUUACUACCUCCUUAUAUUUUUACAUAUAUUUUAAUACUAUAUUUUUUUAAUUAAGCUCUUGUAUGAUAGAAUUCAUAUUUCUCUUAUACCAUAUUGUUGCAUUACAAUAAAACUCUCUUAUCAUCUAUCCAUAUUUCUCAUGUCUUCUUAUUCCAAGUUCCUCCAAUCCUCAUCUUGACCUUUCCGUUUCCAACUUCCAUCUUUGUUCCAACCCCUCCCUUCUUCCUCCAACUCUAUCCCUUUGUCACAGACACAGAAAUACAGACUUGAGAUCUAACAAGAAGUUCAAGAAGAACUGGCAAGAACUAGAUUAAUCAGAUGAAUACAAGAAGAACACCAGAGAAGUGAGCUAGACCUCCAAGAGAUG
rnacentral:lncRNA from 1 species